UAGCUCACUGGUCAAGUGAUCCUGCGCCGACAAUGUAACGGGGCUAAGUUAAUCACCGAAGCGACGGACACUCAUUUAUGGGUGUGGUAGGGGAGCGUUGUGAAAGCAGUGAAGCGGUAUUCGUGAGAAGCCGUGGAGUUUUCAGAAGUGAGAAUGCUGGCAUGAGUAACUGUAAGCAUGUGGGAAUCAUGCUCGCCGAAAGCCUAAGGGUUCCGACGGAAGGUUCGUCCGCGUCGGGUUAGUCGGGCCUAAGUCUAAGACAUAUAGUCGAUGGCGAUGGACAACAGGUUAAUAUUCCUGUACAACUUUUUUGGAGUGAUGCCGGGACGCAGAGUCAAAGGUCAGCCGAGAGUCUGGAUUACUCGGUUCCAAACGCCUAAACCGUUGAUGCGAGUAGGUAAGUCCGCUCGCGGAGGGGGAAGCGUGAUGGUGCACGUUUAGUGAGAAGUGACCAGCGAGUGUGCCAAGAAAAGCGGCUAAGCGAUGAAGAAAGAGUUUCCGUACCGUAAACCAACACAGGUGGGCAAGUAGAGAAUACAAAGGCGAGCGGGAGAACUCUGGUUAAGGAACUCGGCAAAAUAGAGCCGUAACUUCGGGAGAAGGCUCACCCCCUGAUGGGGGGUCGCAGUGAACUGGCCCUGCCGACUGUUUACCAAAAACACAGGUCUCUGCAAACACGAAAGUGGAAGUAUAGGGGCUGACACCUGCCCAGUGCCGGAAGGUUAAGAGGAGUGGUGAGAGCUACGAAUUGAAGCCCCGGUGAACGGCGGCCGUAACUAUAACGGUCCUAAGGUAGCGAAAUUCCUUGUCGGGUAAGUUCCGACCCGCACGAAAGGUGUAACGAGUGGGGCACUGUCUCAACCAGAGACCCGGUGAAAUUGCAGUGACGGUGAAGAUGCCGUCUAAUCGUAGCAGGACAAAAAGACCCCGUGGAGCUUAACUGUAGCUUGUCAUUGAGUCAGAGUUUAGUCUGCGUAGGAUAGGUGGGAGGCUGUGAAACUGGGUUUGCGGACUCGGUGGAGCCAUUGGUGAAAUACCACCCUGACUAAAUUUUGGCCCUAACCCCUUUUAAAGGGGGACCGUGGCAGGUGGGCAGUUUGACUGGGGCGGUCGCCUCCGAAAGAGUAACGGAGGCGCCCAAAGGUACCUUCAGGCGGAAUGGAAACCCGCCGUAGAGUGUAAAGGCAUAAAGGUGCUUGACAGCAAGACCAACAAGUCGAGCUGGGUAGAAAUACGGGCUUAAUGAUCCCACGGUUCCGAGUGGAAGGGCCGUGGCUUAUCGGAUAAAAGCUACCCCGGGGAUAACAGGCUAGUCUUCGCCAAGAGUUCACAUCGACGCGAAGGCUCGGCACCUCGAUGUCGGCUCGUCACAUCCUGGGGCCGUAGCAGGUCCCAAGGGUUGGGCUGUUCGCCCAUUAAAGUGGUACGCGAGCUGGGUUCAGACCGUCGUGAGACAG
rnacentral:rRNA from 1 species